CGAGCUUUCUGCAACAAAAGUUGCAGGCUCGACAAAAAUCACUAAAUCAAAUACAUUACUAGAAUCAAUAUUUAUGAGCCUGACCAUAUGUGUCACAUCAAAGAAUUAUUUUUAUAAUAGGAGCCAUAAUUAGGUCCUUCAAAUUGCAGAAAUAGUAUAAAUAUUCAAUAUAUGCAAAUUAAGAUAUGAUAUAAUCUUGUUACAGACAUGUCAACUGUAUAGUCAUUGUGACAUCAUUUAUAAUCAAUUCUAACAUGACGCCCUUCAAAUGCUUUGAGUACACACCCGUGGUAAAAUAUGAAUAUAUUGCCUGGGCCUUUCCAAUCGUACUCCCACGUCAUAUGCUUUUUUAUGAAUGAGUUACCUGACAUCAUAGAACAAUGACGUAAGAAUUUAAGCAUUUUACAGGAAAAUACACGCUUGUGAAACCGAAAAUCACCACAACAAGGAAAUGUUAACAAACGAUGCUAAAAUGUGGUAUAAGCCAAUUUUUUUAUACAUAUAAGACAUAUUAUCAUUUAAAUUCAUCCAAAACUAUCUAAAUACCUAUUGUAAAUAGUUUGAGCAUGUCACCAAUUCGGUUUGCUCCGUUCUUUUACGCCAAUUUAAUAGUGUGUUUAUUUAUGGGAAUGGCAAAUAUUUGCCUCCACCUAGAGCGCUUCGCUCCAAAAGAAUUGUCGUAUUUGUCCUAUUAGAAUUGAAAUUAUUCAUGGGGGCUUCAAUAUAUCUAGAUUUUAUCACAGGUUGUCCCUUUAUCGCUCAGGGUAAAAUAUUUGUCAUAAAGGGCCAACUCAUGGUAAUAUCACGAUAUAUUCAAGCCCCCAUGAAUUAUUUCUUAAGUAAAUAUUCACAUACUUCACUUUUUUUUUAAAUAUGAAUAUGAAUGCAAAAAGUU
rnacentral:lncRNA from 1 species